rnacentral:lncRNA from 1 species
CUUCUGUUUCUGUUACUUGAUUUGAAUUUUGUUUUAAUCUGAUGAGUUAAGAUCUUUUCAAAUGAUUUUAAUAGUUUGUGCAUAUGGUGUACUGUUACACAACUGUCCCAGGUAAUGGUAAUGGUUGUGCACCCGCUAACCUGUUUAACAUCGCCACAUUCUGUAUGUGCAUGCCCAAAGUCGAGAUCCUGUAAUUCAGUGGUUGUCGUUUGUUGUUGUAUAUCAUAUUUGUUGUUUCUUCAUUUUGUACAUUAAUCAGGCCGUUUGUUUUGUCGUUUGAAUUGUUUUAUAUUUAUCGUUCUGAAGCCUUGUAAAGCAGACAAUGCUGAUUUGCUCAUUGUUGAAGGUCGAACGGUGAUUUAUAUUUGUUAAUUUCUUUGUCAUUUGGUUCUGUCUUUUGAAGAUUUAUCUCAUUAGCAAUAAUACCACAGUAACUUUGUCAUAACAGUUGUUACAUGGUUUGGUAAAUUAUAUUGACUCUUUCAUGGUCGAUUACUAGUUACCACGUGUGUUUACCGUAGUCAUUUUGAAUGGUAGGUCCAUUUCAAAGAUAAAUUUAACCAUUUUAUAAGUAUAUAAAAC